rnacentral:rRNA from 1 species
CCUACGGGGUGCAGCAGUGGGGAAUAUUGCACAAUGGGGGAAACCCUGAUGCAGCGACGCCGCGUGAGUGAAGAAGUAAUUCGUUAUGGAAAGCUCUAUCAGCAGGGAAGAAAAUGACGGUACCUGAGUAAGAAGCCCCGGCUAACUACGUGCAAGCAGCCGCGGUAAUACGUAGGGGGCAAGCGUUAUCCGGAUUUACUGGGUGUAAAGGGAGCGUAGACGGCAGUGCAAGUCUGGAGUGAAAGGCGGGGGCUCAACCCCCGUACUGCUCUGGAAACUGUACGGCGGGAGUGGAGGAGAGGUAAGUGGAAUUCGUAGUGUAGCGGUGAAAUGCGUAGAUAUUAGGAGGAACACCAGUGGCGAAGGCGGCUUACUGGACUCUAACUGACGUUGAGGCUCGAAAGCGUGGGGAGCAAACAGGAUUAGAUACCCGAGUAGUC